GAGUUUGAUCGUGGCUCAGAGCGAACGCUGGCGGCGUGCCUAACACAUGCAAGUCGAACGUGAAAAGGGGCAACCCUGAGUAAAGUGGCGUACGGGUGAGUAACGCGUAGGUAAUCUACCCUAGAGUCUGGAAUAACCGGCCGAAAGGCUGGCUAAUACUGGAUAGAGCGAAGAACUCGUAAGAGGGUUUUUCGGGAAAGGGAGGGAGCAAUCCCCCUUGCUUUAGGAUGAGCCUGCGUCUCAUUAGCUAGUUGGUAGGGUAACGGCCUACCAAGGCUUGGAUGAGUAGCUGGUCUGAGAGGAUGAUCAGCCACACUGGAACUGAAACACGGUCCAGACUCCUACGGGAGGCAGCAGUGGGGAAUCUUGCGCAAUGGACGAAAGUCUGACGCAGCCACGCCGCGUGAGUGAAGAAGGCC
rnacentral:rRNA from 1 species